rnacentral:rRNA from 1 species
CCCUUAGAUGUCCUGGGCCGCACGCGCGUUACACUGAUGCAUUCAACGAGCUUAUAACCUUGGCCGAGAGGCCUGGGCAAUCUUGUUAACGUGCAUCGUGAUAGGGAUAGAUUAUUGAAAUUAUUAAUCUUGAACGAGGAAUUCCUAGUAAACGCAGAUCAUCAAUCUGCAUUGAUUACGUCCCUGCCCUUUGUACACACCGCCCGUCGCACCUACCGAUUGGAUGGUCCGGUGAAGCCUCGGGAUUGUGGUUCUUGCCGCUUUAUUGUGGCGUGACCGCGAGAACUUCUCUAAACCUUAUCAUCUAGAGGAAGGUGAAGUCGUAACA